rnacentral:sRNA from 1 species
AGCAGCCGCGGUAAUUCCAGCUCCAAUAGCGUAUAUUAAAGUUGUUGCAGUUAAAAAGCUCGUAGUUGAAUUUCGGGAUCAGCAGGUCGGUCGUGCCACUGGUAUGCACUGGCCUUGCUGAUUCCUCCCUCUUGAUGAGCCGUAAUGCCAUUAAUUUGGUGUUGCGGGGAAUCAGGACUGUUACUUUGAAAAAUUAGAGUGUUUAAAGCAGGCAUGCGCUUGAAUACAUUAGCAUGGAAUAAUGAAAUAGGACGUUCGAUCCUAUUUUGUUGGUUUCUAGGAUUGACGUAAUGAUUAAUAGGGAUAGUUGGGGGCAUUAGUAUUCAAUUGUCAGAGGUGAAAUUCUUGGAUUUAUUGAAGACUAACUACUGCGAAAGCAUUUGCCAAGGAUGUUUUCAUUAAUCAAGAACGAAAGUUAGGGGAUCGAAGACGAUCAGAUACCGUCGUAGUCUUAACCAUAAACUAUGCCGACUAGGGAUCGGAUGAUGUUUAAUUU